rnacentral:snRNA from 1 species
GUGCUCACUUCAGCAGCACAUACACUAAAAUUGAAACAAUACAGAGACUAGCAUGGCCCCUGCACAAGGAUGACAUGCAAAUUUGUGAAGUGUUCCAUAUUAAA